rnacentral:rRNA from 1 species
CCUACGGGUGGCUGCAGUGGGGAAUAUUGCGCAAUGGGCGAAAGCCUGACGCAGCGACGCCGCGUGAGGGAUGAAGGUCUUCGGAAUGUAAACCCCCGUUAGCAGGGAAGAACGGUCACUGUGCUAAUCAGCAGUGAAUUGACGGUACCAGCAAAGGAAGCACCGGCUAACUCCGUGCCAGCAGCCGCGGUAAUACGGGGGGUGCGAGCGUUAAUCGGAUUGAGUGGGCGUAAAGCGCUCGUAGGCGGUAUGUCAAGUCAAGGGUGAAAUCCCCGCGCUCAACGUGGGAACUGCCUUUGAAACUGGCAAACUGGAGUGUGUGAGAGGAAAGUGGAAUUCGAGGUGUAGGAGUGAAAUCCGUAGAUAUCUGGAGGAACAUCAGUGGCGAAGGCGGCUAUCUGGCACAUAACUGACGCUGAGGAACGAAAGCGUGGGUAGCAAACAGGAUUAGAUACCCGAGUAGUC